UACAGAGGGUGCGAGCGUUAAUCGGAUUUACUGGGCGUAAAGCGUGCGUAGGCGGCUUUUUAAGUCGGAUGUGAAAUCCCCGAGCUUAACUUGGGAAUUGCAUUCGAUACUGGGAGGCUAGAGUAUGGGAGAGGAUGGUAGAAUUCCAGGUGUAGCGGUGAAAUGCGUAGAGAUCUGGAGGAAUACCGAUGGCGAAGGCAGCCAUCUGGCCUAAUACUGACGCUGAGGCACGAAAGCGUGGGGAGCAAACAGG
rnacentral:rRNA from 1 species